CCCUCCGCGCGUGCCCUCCCUCCGCGCGUGCCACCAGCAACCACCGUCAGCUGGCUUUCUCCUGCGCAGCGGUGGUGCAUCUCCUGCUCCCAGAUCCAGGCGCGGGCCCCAACCCCUUCUACCACUGGAUCUCGGGCUCGCCGGUGGGCGACGGCGCUGCCCACCGCCCGUGGCUCAUCCCCCCAGUGCCGUCGAGGUUCAGGUCCCGUAUCGUACACCCCUCCCUCGAAUACGUCGCUCCGACCUUCUUUCAUAGAGCCAGCGGCCGCUCUGCCUUCCUACAGUUGCCCGUGCUCCUCCAUCGAUGUUCCCGCGGUCAUCCACUGCACCGCCAACAUCCUCUCUCCGGCCGACCUGCAGCUGGGGGAGGUCUCAAACUACAGCUGGAGGAGGUCUCGACCUGCAGGUACGUAUGGCUGAAAAGCUUGAACCUUACUGUGUAUACUUGGUAUUCUAUUAACAAUUGGGAUUACAAGAAUACAUGCAGUCGCAAAUUGUCAUUAAUGGUGGUGUCUUAUAUCAGGCGAGGCUUUGAGCAGCAUCUCCAUGGAUAAAUCGCCCUGACUAAAUGACCCAACCAAGUUAAUCAACAAGAAAUACGCGAGAGAGAGACAGUUUGGGUUACGUGCAGUGUACAUUAGCUCUGGCAGAGAAAAUAUAUGUUCGAAUUCUUGCACCGUUGUGCUAGCUAACACAACUUAUUAUUCAGUGAUUUGCACAAACACUUCACCUGGAGGUAUUGACUUGCAGCUUGCCGCGUCUGCCGCUGCCGCCGAGGUCCACCACAUACACUCGAUGUUGCGGCAACCACCCCCACCACUGUCCGUUGCCGAUGCGUGCAACCACGUCCAGCCACCCACUGGACGUGGGCACAGAGGCAGGGCCAUGCCGAGGGAGCUCGAGCUCAACCACCCACAGCUGGUUCCCCUGCAGGUUGUACACCCCACCAACCACACCAUCUUCUCCUCGUCUAUUCUCUUGCCUCCUUGCUUCUGUAGUUCAAGAUGAUUUAAAAAGGUUGGUAUUUUUUCUCUUUGUAAUGUUCAAAAGUUUGGUGCUGUAAUUUUUUCAGAUGUGCAAAGAUGUAAUCUCAGCAAGGUUGGACUAUGUUAAAAGAUAUUACCAACCAAGAAAAAAGAGAAAUUUGGGUCUAUGAUUUCCCACUAUAUUUGCCCCAACUUGUGUGCUGAUUUCAUUUGAAAAAUCUAGAAGUUCAAUGAUAUAAAAUAUAUAAGUUCUGACUCCACAAUAUGUAUGUUUGGAGAAUAAAAACAAUAGUUAAAUGAACCCACCUGCAGAGUAAAAAAGAAUAUGUAAAUUUGCAUUACGGAGUUACAAAAAUUCAGAGCCAAAAGCAUAUAAAAUUUCAUUGAAGGCAGUGCUAAAAACGUUCAAAAAAUUUCCCUUUGUUUCAGGUUGCAGCGGAAAAACAAAAUGCAGAAGUUCAAAGAUGAAAUUUGAAGAAGGAAAUAUGCAACAAUCAAAGAAGUGGCGGUCUCAUUACAGCGAAGAAGAACGCCUUGCGAUCCAACCGAGUUGACUCCUGCCAUCGACACUGCAUAAUUAUCACUGGAUGCCCAUGGCCACCGGCGCUGGAUAAUUAGCACUGAAUGACUUGCAAUCCGGAAGAAAGUUGCGCCCAUAACCUGUGGAGAUCUAUAACAUUGUGCAGUUGGUCGUGAUGUCUCCUGGAGCUUCAAUUUUCUUACCCUGAUGCAUUUUCUUCCUUUUUGAUGUGCCACUUGAUGCAUAAAUUAUCACUGGAUGCCCAUGGCGUGUUCACAGUAUGUGUUUGUGUUAGUACCCGACAGGUUCCAUCAUGUACUAAAUGGGGAUGGAUAGAGAGAUCCAUAAUUCAUUUGUAUAGAAGUUCAAAUUUAAACAAAAUAGAGGUCCAAUGUUUAUGAAAGCUAUUUUAGUAAUUCUUUACUAAAAGUGUACUGGCGUUGUAGGUGGCAGCCGCGACAUUUGUGUGUAGGUGAAUAAAAUGGAGAAGUUCAAGUUAAAAUAAUGGAAAACUUGUUCUUGUUCUUUACGGUAAAAAAUGUAUCAUGGUUGGUUUUCCAAACUAGUUGCUCUCUGAGGCACAUUAUGUUGCUGCUUUCCUUCUCCUUCAUGAAAUUGUUACAAAAGAAAAGAGCAUAGAAG
rnacentral:lncRNA from 1 species